UGGAAUUGUUUUGCGAGGUUUACUUCACACUGGUCCUACAGCUCUUUGUAAAGUAUCUCGCUACAGCUCUUUGUAAAGUAUCUCGGUGUGAUUCAAUUCAGAAAGUCAUCAGUAAAAGGGAAGCCAUUAGGGAAUUUGCCAGAAAAAGAGUCAUUUCGGUUACUUUGCCUCCGAGUAAGCACGCAAGUUAGCCAGUUGUUGUUCAGGGGUGCAUUAGGUUAUUGGCGGAGCGGGUAUAGUAUGAUUUUAUGACUUUAUAUCUUACGUUACUUUACACUGGCUUCAUCUGACUUAACUUUCCACUGGCCCAAC
rnacentral:lncRNA from 1 species